rnacentral:rRNA from 1 species
AAGAGUUUGAUCAUGGCUCAGAUUGAACGCUGGCGGCAGGCCUAACACAUGCAAGUCGAACGGUAACAGAAAGCAGCUUGCUGCUUUGCUGACGAGUGGCGGACGGGGGAGUAAUGUCUGGGAAACUGCCUGAUGGAGGGGGAUAACUACUGGAAACGGUAGCUAAUACCGCAUAACGUCGCAAGACCAAAGAGGGGGACCUUCGGGCCUCUUGCCAUCGGAUGUGCCCAGAUGGGAUUAGCUUGUUGGUGGGGUAACGGCUCACCAAGGCGACGAUCUCUAGCUGGUCUGAGAGGAUGACCAGCCACACUGGAACUGAGACACGGUCCAGACUCCUACGGGAGGCAGCAGUGGGGAAUAUUGCACAAUGGGCGCAAGCCUGAUGCAGCCAUGCCGCGUGUAUGAAGAAGGCCUUCGGGUUGUAAAGUACUUUCAGCGGGGAGGAAGGGAGUAAAGUU